rnacentral:misc_RNA from 1 species
GAUGAAGAACGUAGCGAAAUGCGAUAAGUAGUGUGAAUUGCAGAAUUCAGUGAAUCAUCGAAUCUUUGAACGCACAUUGCGCCCUUUGGUAUUCCUUAGGGCAAGCCUGUUCGAGCGUCAUUUGACCCCUCAAGCUCUGCUUGGUGAUGGGCGCCUUGUCGACCCCGCGGUUUCCGCAGGCGACUCGCCUCAAAUCCAUUGGCGGCCCCCGCAUGGCCACGAGCGCAGCAGAAACGCAAACUCGUGCGCCGGACCGGGCGGCUCCCAGAAGCUACACCCACCAUUUUGACCUCGGAUCAGGUAGGGAUACCCGCUGAACUUAAGCAUAUCAAUAAGCGGAGGA